GUUGAACCAAAAGGGGGUUUCCCCCAUUUUCCCAACUCUCUUUCUCUCUCUUCUCUCUAAAACCAAAUUUGUUGUGCCGCCGCUGCCCCACCCUACGCCAUCGUCGCUCUUCUCUCCUUGAGCAUUAGUUCCAUCGUACCCUUUCCCCGUUGGCGUCACCACCCGUCGUCCCCACUGCCUCUUUUCCUUAACUUGUUAAGGUUAGAGUUUAAUUUUAGUUUUUUUUCAAUUCUAGUAAUAUUUGAUCUGUUAAAAACUAGUAUAUUAUUUUAGUUUGAUGAAUAGUGUUAUUUUCAAUUGUUAAUUUGUAUAUUUGAUUAUUGUUAGUUAGAUAGAGAAUUGAGAAUUUUUUAUUUUAGGGUUUUCUUCUAAUUUAGUGUUUUUCAAAUAUGAUAGUGAAUUGAGUGUUAGAAAAUAGAACAAACAAAUAGUUAGAAGUUAGAAGUUAGAUUAGUUGCAUUUUUCAACUUUGAAAUUCUUGAAUUUAGUAUGUUUGACGGUUGAAGUUAGAAACACAUUGAAUUGUAUAUGAAAGUUAAAAUGAGAUUAAUUGAAUUUUUCUACAUAGAAAAGUUCUUGAAUUUUAGUACGUUUGAAAGUUGAAGUUAGAAAAAUUGGAGAUUUAGGUUGUGAAACGUUGGAAAUCUUAAAUUACUGUAGAAUUUUAGAACUUUAAGUUAUGAAUUUAGAACUUUAAGUUAUAAAUUUUAGAAAAGUUGUUUUUUUAGGAUUUUAAAAUUUUAAGUUGUGAACUUUAGAAAUCUUGAAUUAUUUUAGGAUUUUCGAACUUUAGGCUGUGAACUUUAGAAAUCUUGAAUUAUUUUGGAAUUUUAGACUUUAAGUUGUGACCUUUAGAAAUCUUGAAUUAUUGUAGGAUAUUAAAUUUUAGGUUGUGAACUUUAGAAAUCUUAAUUUAUAGAAUUUAUGAACUAAUUAUUAGGUUGAACUUUAAAAAUCUUGAUAAAAUAUAGUCUUUAUGAAUUAUUUGUAAUUUUGAAACGAAUUUUGAAAGACUUUAUAAGUCUUUAAAUUGUGAUUUAGAUAUGUUUGAAUAUUAAUUUAUGUUUGUUGUUUUACAUUUUGUGUAGCUUCUUUAUAAUGUUUUGUGUUUGAUUGGGAUUGAGUUGACUUGACUUCAAUUAAAUUGAAUUGAUUUUGCAGAUGAGUAACAGAAUUUGGCAGUUUCUGUGUCAAACAAAUAUUAGAAAAAAGCAACGAACAAAAUGAUUUUGUCCAUCAUUUUUUUUGGAUUUUAUUUUUAAAAAAAAUUCAGAAAAGCAACGAACAAGUUCCUUUAGUCCGUCGCUGUUUUAAUUUUAUUUAUUUUUAAAACCCAAAAAAGUGAUGUACAUGGUUCUUUAGUUCGUCGCUUUUUUAAAGUUUUCACAUUUUUAUUUUCAAAAAAGUGACGGAUAGUGUCUCAUUGUCCGUCGCUUUUCAAGAUUUUAAAUCGACGGAUUUCAUCUCUCUUUUUAAUUUAAAAAUAAAAUAAAAUAAAAUAAGUGAUAGACGACGUCACAUUCUUCAAAAAAAAUAUUUUAAAAAAAUAAAAUAUGACGCAGUCCGUCGCUUUUGAAAAAGCAUCGAGCCAAGAAACAAAGAGAUUAACUGUGUCGCUUUUCCGUCUCUUUUUCCCCCCAGUAUUUUAGUAGUGAAUGUCGAAGGAGAAACAAGGCCUAAUGUUUUAAAUGUAAGAAGUCUAUGGCAAUAACUAGUCUAAGCCUAUACUAGGUCGAAGCUCAAUUAUACAAUCACAACAACUUACAAGUCAAAACAUAAGAUAAGGAUAGACUCAUAGCCCCCAACUAGCUAGUAUAGUUAUAAUCCUGAAAUAAUAUCGAUCAAGCCUAAAACAUGGUUUUUAUGAAAGAAAACCAACCAGGUACUCUCCCUCAUUUGACUCUAAUCAACAUAUGUUCACACAUUCAACCUCAAUCUAGGAUAAAGAAAGUUGUAGCCUACCUUAAGGCUGACAGCAUAUGCUCCAAAUCACAUAUCUGGAGUUUUUUCUUUACGAACAACCUCAGAAUGUUGCCCCGCUAUUGAAAAUAGGAUUACAAUGUUAAUACACUCCUUUAGACACUAAACCACAUAAAAUAGAGACAUAACACUUUUUAAAUCAAACAGGAACCAUGGCACCAAUGCCGAAACUUCUGGGAUCGACUAAGUUAAAAAGUCUUAAAUAGUACCCCCAAACUUGUGUUCCAAAUGGAACACAAUUCGGGGCUCGAAACAACAAGAACAAACAACAUACGACAAUUUCACCAUUAAAGAUAACAACUAAGAUAAGGUAGCCUACAAUUGAACGAAUUUACCUGAAACGAGAGAUGCCACACACUUUCAAUCACACCACUGCAUAGACCCAAGCUCAAAAAGACACCAGACUUUGAAUUGUUGCAAUCAAAUCUCUAAAGAGGGAUGGAUCGCUAAAACUUAAGUGACCACUUAUCUCUCUUAAGUGAUUGGCCUGCAAGAGGCGGUUUAUUCCAUAAGCCCCUGGUCGCUAAAGUGAGCCUUGCUUAAGCAACACUAGGGUCACAAAAAGGGUAUGGUUUGGCCUGCUAAGCUCGUUUAAGUGAUACCCUAGUCGUAAAGUGAUGCUCGUUUAAGCGAUGAGAGAGAUGCUAAAGCGACUUCCAUUUAAGUGGCCUAGCUUGCUAAAGCGGAGCCUUGGCUACUAAAGCAAAAUCGCUUAAACGAGGCAGGGUCGAAAAAGUAAGCACCAACAUCAAGUACCAAUAAAAUCAGCUAAGUUUUGUUUAAAACCCCAUGCACACAAAAGAGAUAUGCCACCUAAUCAUAUUUGACAUUUCUAGACUCAAGGGAGAAGUCAAAACUUCCAUUCGAUGUUGUCUUGACAAAAAGUGAAUCUCACACCCAAACUCCAAUUUAAGCCAAAAUUCACAAGGGGGCUCAGAAUUAGCUUAGGAGCCUCAAGAUCAGCACGGAGGGUCCUCAGACUCUUUCUAGGUGUAUGGUGUACUUUUUUUAUUUUCCUGCAUGGUUUGUAAUUGAUCUUUUUUAUUCUUCACAAUGUGUACAAGAUUUGUGGAGGUUUUCAUUUGAAUAGAGAAGAAGAACAACGAAGUGGUUGAAAGAGAAAUAGUUAGGCCCGUGGGGAGAAACAGAAACGUGGGUAUGUGGGAGUGGGAUGAAGAUCAGUUAAAAAACUCUCCCGAAAGGUGUAAUUGAUACUUAUCAAUUGAUUCUCUCUCAUUAAUGUUAUUUCUUUCACCUAUUAAUUAUGAUAACAUUAUAUAAUUUUUUAAUCAAAUAUAAUUAACAAAUUAAAAUUGAUCUCUUAAUACUUGUAAUUAAAACUUUAUCAGUAGUAAUUAAAAAAGCGGAUACAAAGACGGCAAUAUUAACCCUUAAAUAGAUAUGAGUGAUUCUUUUAUUUGUAAUCUGAAUCAAACAAAUCAAAAUGAAUUGAGCUAAAAUCAUUGAUAAUAUUGAAGUUAUAAAUCUCAUUAAAACAUAUACCUAUACUAUUUCAGAGUUCAGAUCCAUUUAAAUGUCAUUUUAACCAAACAAAUUUAAUUUAAAAAGAAUUGCGUUUUUAGGGAUCUAGAAGUAGUAAAAAUUUUCUUUUCAAAUUUUUCAUUGUUUUAAUAAAUUAUAUCAUUUCAAACAAUAAUUAUAUAAAUAAUUUCCUAAAAGGUUCCUCAAUCAUUCCUAUUCAAUUUUAGGAGAGAUAAAAGAUUGAUCAAUUAUAUAAUUUUUAUGACUGAUGGACUAGUAUUAUUUUCAAAAAAUAAAUAAAUGUGAAAUGAUACUUAAAAUGGGCAGAGAGUAAAAAAAAUAAUUAAAAAAAAUUGGGCAGUGAGCACGAAAUAAGACGGAAAAUAAUAGGGUAAACUACAUAAAUUCCAUUAAUUUAGGCUCUAAUUACUUAGAUCCCAAUAGUUUUAAAUAUUACUUCCUCUACCAUAUUUCAUACUUAGGAUACAUGAGUUUAAAUCCGUGAGAUAUAUGUAUCUGCCGAAUUUCAAAAUUGAGAUACGUAUUUUAUUUGUUUGAAUUAAUUGGUUAUAACCAAAUUUCUUAAUAUAAGGCGAAAAUCAAGGAGUGUAUCUAUUUUAGUUAAUUUCAUUUUUAUUAUUAUUUGAAAUAAUAAAUUCGUUAAUAUUAUUUAUAAAAGAC
rnacentral:lncRNA from 1 species